rnacentral:lncRNA from 1 species
AAAGAAAGUCACGCCUCCCUAUCUUUAAUACCAGAUUGGUUUGAAUGUGAGUCAUAGUUUUUACUGUUGUUUGCUGACAUUUUGGUGAUGAGAUAAGCAGAGAUCUUGAUACCAAAGAUGUGCAGAUGGCACUUUUCCUGGAAUUAAAUUAGAAGAAUUGGAAACUUCAGACUGGAGUGUGUGCCAGAGGGCGUGCCAAGCUACAAGACAAUCACCUUCGAUUUCCCUGGAGAGUCAAUUUGACCAUAAGGAAUGACCGAAGGAUUGGGGAAGAAAAUACUCCCCCUGCUGAUGCUCCUUUGGUUCUACUUGGGAGUGAAGCUCACAAGAGGAGGGACUGCAAUAAACGUUCCCCAGAUGAUGCAGAGGUCUCUCUCUGCUGACAGUUAAUACCUUGCCUCCAAGCCUGAAUCGCCUUCCUGUCUGCGGGGUGUCUGAACGAACACAGCAAGAUGUGCAGGUCACUGAGUUAGAAGAAGUCGGCAGGGCCUAAGGCCUUCUGCAAGGUGUGACUCUCUCCCUCCAUACUGAGAACAUUUUGAAGUGACUUCAGAGGCUGCAGGGCUUGGGAAGUCCCAUGAGAACCGCUCCCCUUUCCCAAGGCACCGACAUGGCCUGUAGCCAGGCAUUGCUGUUUCUCAGCAGACUGAUCCAGGCCAGGCUUUCUGCUCUCCCUGCUGGAGGACCGCCAUCCUUAUUGAAUGUAUUUCCAAGAAAGCAGUUGACGGGCUUGGCUGUGCUAUUUCUGGAAAUGUUCAAUAGGCCAUCUUCUGGCAGG